rnacentral:rRNA from 1 species
UGGGGAAUAUUGCACAAUGGGGGAAACCCUGAUGCAGCGACGCCGCGUGAGCGAAGAAGGCUUUCGAGUCGUAAAGCUCUGUCCUAUGAGAAGAUAAUGACGGUAUCAUAGGAGGAAGCCCUGGCUAAAUACGUGCCAGCAGCCGCGGUAAUACGUAUGGGGUGAGCGUUGUCCGGAAUUAUUGGGCGUAAAGGGUACGUAGGCGGUUUUUUAAGUCAGGUGUCAAAGCGUGGAGCUUAACUCCAUUAAGCACUUGAAACUGAAAGACUGGAGUGAAGGUGAGGAAAGUGGAAUUCCUAGUGUGGCGGUGAGAUGCGUAGAUAUUAGGCGGAAUACCGGUGGCGAAGGCGACUUUCUGGACUUUUACUGACGCUCAGGUACGAAAGCGUGAGGAGCAAACAGG